rnacentral:tRNA from 1 species
GCACCCUUAGCUCAAUUGGAUAGAGCAUCUGACUACGGAUCAGAAGGUUGGGAGUUCGAGCCUCUCAGGGUGCACCA